rnacentral:miRNA from 1 species
AGUGGACAUGGGGUGAUACUGUG